GGCCGGAGCUGGAGGGGGAGGAGGGGAGGAACCUGAUCCUCGGUAGCGAAGGGCUGGAGGCAAACACCGAGCUCCCCCUGAGCCGCCUGGGAGCAGGGAGGGUUCUGCUACCCUGAGGGGCCCUCCCCGCGGGGCAGAGGGGUUUCCUCAGCAGUGCCCCGGAGCAGGGACCGCGCCAGCCAGCAGAAACAGCUAGUUGUUGUCUGCAGUGAAGAAUAAUUGGAAGCAUGGUGCCUGUUUCUUUUCCUGUGGGAGGAAGUCACAGCAUCUACUUCUGAAUCUGUGCUUGCCUUGAGGAAAAACGGCAUGGCACAGGAAUGUGGACGCUUUCAACCAGAGGAUUCUGUACGACGGUGUCGGCACACAAGGAGUGUUCCACUGACUGACCUCUUUUUGUUUUCAAAUGAAGAGGAGCCAAGAAUAGGACAGCUUGGGAAGGUGAGCUGCGUAUAGCUCGUCAGGCUGAGCUCAUCCUCGUCUACGGCCAAACGUUGGUUUCUCAUUUCUAGAAGAUGAAAGAUGUGAUGACUCAGGAAAAACUUGCUGCUCGAGAUGUGAGUCUUCAGAUGUUCCUGCCGCCAUAUCUGACAGCUGCUGCCAAGAUUCCCUGGUGGGAUGGACUCUUAUACCUCAACAACCAGAAGCCCAAGUAAACUCUUCUAUAAAUUGAAUGACUCAUGCUUAAAAAAAAAAACAAAAAACAAACUAUCUUUAUUUUGUGUGCAUUGGUGUUUUGCCUACAUAUAUGUCUGUGUGAGAGUGUCAGAUUCCUUGGAACUGUAGCUACAGAUAGUUGUGAGCCACCAUGUGGGUGCUGGGACUUGAACCCCAGUCCUCUAGAAGAGCAGCUGGUAGGUACUCUUAACCACUGGACCAUCCCUCUAGACCCUGAUCAUGGUGUUUUAACUACAGCAAAAGAAAAGUAAUUAGCACAAUCAGGUUAGCCAGAGGGCACACCUGUGACAGAUUUUUCCUAAGUGCAUUCAUCAGGGGGAGGCCCACCCUGGAUGGGGGCAGCACCCUUCCUUGGGUUUGGGUCUUAGAAAGAAUAAACACAGAGAGGGAGCUGAGCACAAGCCAGCAAGCACAAGCUAAGCAAGCACUGUCCAGUCUUCCUCUGCUUUGACUGAGGAUGUGACGUGUCUAGCUGCUUCAGGUUUCUGCCUCGAAUCCCCUGCAGUCAUAGACUAUAACCUGGAAUUGUGAGCCAAAAGAAAAACAAAAGAAAACAAAAUCCAUUUUCUCCCCAUAUGUUGCUUUUUGGUCAAAGCAUUUGAUCCCAGUAACAGAAAAGAAAUGAGGACAGGCAAGAAGAGGCCAUACCACAGAGCCAGGAGCAGGUUGUAGUGCCAAGUUGCAGAGGCCGGGGAGGAGCAUAGGUGCAGAGCAGCCGCUGUCAGAAUGUUCAGGGAAAAGGAGAAGAGAGGAUGUGUCAGGGAAGUGAGCUGGCUCAGUCCAUAACAGCAUGGUCUUGCUGUCUUUUACAGGGUCUGAAGUCUACCUUAGUGCAGUGGGAGCCACUA
rnacentral:lncRNA from 1 species